rnacentral:lncRNA from 1 species
ACAGCAGUUUCAACUUGUUUGUUCUCCUCCACUGGUGCUGCUUCUUCUAUGGAUUCUUUUUCAGUAGUUUCCUUAGUGGCUUCCUCAGUUGUUGCUUCCUCUUUCACUUCCUCAACUUUUUCGGGUGCUGGAUUCUCGACCUUUGGUUUGUCUUCCUCUGUUUCUUGUGUAGUCCCAACUUCAACUGGCACUUCUGUUUCCGCUUCUUUCUCAACUGCUGCUGCUUCUUCGACGGCUUCUUUGUUUGUUUGUUCGGUGGUGGCUGGUGUUGUUUCCUCUGAGACAGGAACCUCGGAGGCUGGUGUUGUUUCCUCGACCUUGGUUACCUCAACUGUUUCAUUUUCUGUCACAGUUGUUGGUACUUGUUGUGUUUCAACCUGCAAGAUCCAUUUUCAUUAACCAUACAAUCUCAACAUGGUUUGUUCUGUUUCUGAGAAUAAGAAACUGAUAGGAAGCAUGAUCAAUCAUACGUCAUAUGUUAUACUUCUGUAUUACAAUCGCGAAUGUAAUGCAUAUAACUAUAACUACGUAGAUCACAUAUAAGAAAAUAUCAAAUUAACAUGUAUUGAUUUGUUGAUACAGAAUGAAUAACAGACAACAAACAAAAAUAAAGGAACAGAAAAAAAAUUGUAAUGUUCUGUCACAAAUGUUUUGGCUUACAUGAUCUGCAUUGGAUGUAUACUAAACUACACUGAGAGUAAUAAUGCAAUGGAGAAAAGAAGAGAGAGAAUUGUAUAUCUCUGAAUU